rnacentral:rRNA from 1 species
UACGGGGGGUGCAAGCGUUAUUCGGAAUUAUUGGGUGUAAAGGGCGCGUAGGCGGUUGUAUAAGUCAGAUGUGAAAGCCCUUGGCUUAACCAAGGAAGUGCAUUUGAUACUAUUUGACUUGAGUAUGGGAGAGGGAAGUGGAAUUCCUGGUGUAGAGGUGAAAUUCGUAGAUAUCAGGAGGAACACCGGUGGCGAAAGCGACUUCCUGGACCAAUACUGACGCUGAGGAGCGAAGGCGUGGGGAGCAAACAGG